UGAUGGGCAGCCAGGUGUGAAAGGUGAACCCGGAGAGCCGGGUCAGAAAGGAGAUGCUGGAUCCCCUGGACCUCAAGGGCUUGCAGGCUCCCCCGGACCCCCAGGUCCUUCUGGGGUACCUGGACUGAAAGGUGGCCGAGGCACAAAGGGUCCUCCAGGUGCUACAGGAUUCCCGGGAUCUGCUGGACGAGUUGGACCCCCAGGACCAACUG